rnacentral:rRNA from 1 species
CUAACACAUGCAAGUCGAGGGGCAUUCACAUGAGUAGCAAUACGAUGGUGGCGACCGGCGCACGGGUGAGUAACACGUAUGCAACCUACCUGUAAGUGGGGAAUAACCCGGAGAAAUUCGGACUAAUACCGCAUAAAACUGCGAAACUGCAUGGUUUUGCAUUUAAACAUUUAUGGCUUACAGAUGGGCAUGCGUAUGAUUAGCUAGUUGGUGAGGUAACGGCUCACCAAGGCAACGAUCAUUAGGGGUUCUGAGAGGAAGGUCCCCCACACUGGUACUGAGACACGGACCAGACUCCUACGGGAGGCAGCAGUGAGGAAUAUUGGUCAAUGGGCGACGAGCCUGAUUUCUUCUUUCCAGUCGCGUGAAGGAAGAAGGUUCUAUGGAUUGUAAACUUCUUUUGUAAGGGAAUAAAAAGAGUUACGUGUAACUUAUUGUAUGUACUUUACGAAUAAGGAUCGGCUAACUCCGUGCCAGCAGCCGCGGUAAUACGGAGGAUCCAAGCGUUAUCCGGAUUUAUUGGGUUUAAAGGGUGCGUAGGCGGGUUUUUAAGUCAGUGGUGAAAGUUUGCAGCUCAACUGUAAAAUUGCCAUUGAAACUGAAGACCUUGAGUGUAAAUGAGGUAGGCGGAAUGUGUUGUGUAGCGGUGAAAUGCUUAGAUAUAACACAGAACACCAAUUGCGAAGGCAGCUUACUGGGAUACAACUGACGCUGAGGCACGAAAGCGUGGGGAUCAAACAGGAUUAGAUACCCUGGUAGUCCACGCAGUAAACGAUGAAUACUAACUGUAUGCGAUAUACUGUAUGCGGUACAGCGAAAGCGUUAAGUAUUCCACCUGGGGAGUACGUUCGCAAGAAUGAAACUCAAAGGAAUUGACGGGGGCCCGCACAAGCGGAGGAACAUGUGGUUUAAUUCGAUGAUACCGACGAGGACCCCUUACCCCGGGACUUGAAAUGCAUGAAGACCGAUGCGGGAAACCGAUUUUCCAGCAAUUGGCUUCUGUGUAGGUGCUGCAUGGUUGUCGUCAGCUCGUGCCGUGAGGUGUCGGCUUAAGUGCCAUAACGAGCGCAACCCUUAUCAUUACUUACUAACAGGUUAAGCUGAGGACUCUAAUGAGACUGCCACCGUAAGGUGUGAGGAAGGUGGGGAUGACGUCAAAUCAGCACGGCCCUUACGUCCGGGGCGACACACGUGUUACAAUGGGGGGUACAGAGGGUCCGCUACCUGGGUGACAGGAUGCUAAUCUCAUUUUUUCUUCUUCUCUCAGUUCGGAUCCGGAGUCUGCAACUCCGACUCCGUGAAGCUGGGAUNCCGCUAGUAAUCGCGCAUCAUCCAUGGCCCGGUGAAUACGUNCCCCGGGCCCUUGUACACACCCGCCCGUCAAGCCAUGGGA